AAUUAGAAAGCGAAAAUUUGCAAUUAGUUUCGACCUAAGUCUUGAUCUUUCUUGAUCUCUAAUUU
rnacentral:tRNA from 1 species